rnacentral:rRNA from 1 species
GUGGGGAAUAUUGGGCAAUGGGCGCAAGCCUGACCCAGCAACGCCGCGUGAGGGAAGAAGGCUUUCGGGUUGUAAACCUCUGUCCUUGGUGACGAAACAAAUGACGGUAGCCAAGGAGGAAGCCCCGGCUAACUACGUGCCAGCAGCCGCGGUAAUACGUAGGGGGCGAGCGUUGUCCGGAAUUACUGGGCGUAAAGGGUGCGUAGGUGGCCUUUUAAGUUGGAUGUGAAAUACCCGGGCUUAACUUGGGGGGUGCAUGCAAAACUGGGAGGCUAGAGUGCAGGAGAGGAAAGCGGAAUUCCUAGUGUAGCGGUGAAAUGCGUAGAUAUUAGGAGGAACACCAGUGGCGAAGGCGGCUUUCUGGACUGUAACUGACACUGAGGCACGAAAGCGUGGGGAGCAAACAGGAUUAGAAACCCCUGUAGUCC